rnacentral:rRNA from 1 species
CCUACGGGAGGCAGCAGUGAGGAAUAUUGGUCAAUGGACGGAAGUCUGAACCAGCCAUGCCGCGUGCAGGAAGACGGCUCUAUGAGUUGUAAACUGCUUUUGUACAAGGGUAAACCUGAAUACGUGUAUUCCGCUGAAAGUACUGUACGAAUAAGGAUCGGCUAACUCCGUGUCAGCAGCCGCGGUAAUACGGAGGAUCCAAGCGUUAUCCGGAUUUAUUGGGUUUAAAGGGUGCGUAGGCGGAUUGAUAAGUUAGAGGUGAAAUGUCCGAGCGUAACUCGGGAACUGCCUCUAAUACUGUUGAUCUAGAGAGUAGAUGCGGUAGGCGGAAUGUAUGGUGUAGCGGUGAAAUGCUUAGAGAUCAUACAGAACACCGAUUGCGAAGGCAGCUUACCAAUCUAUAUCUGACGUUGAGGCACGAAAGCGUGGGGAGCAAACAGGAUUAGAUACCCUUGUAGUC